UCAAAUAUAUAAUGGUUUCUCCUGUUCGCCAGUCGGCAUGAACACAUAAAUACUGUGGAUAUUACGUUACAUAACCGCAGUGAAAGAACGACACUAUGGAGAUGUUUGGACUGCAGUAUAAUGAGCAUGGUUGCCCCCAGUUCCUGUGGACUGGGACCAGCACAGGACCAAGACUGCCCGACCUCCUCCAGAGCAGUGCAUCCACUGCACAGUCAUCGUAAUGGACGUGGCACUAAGGAGGAUUGUCCAGCCGCAGAUGACGCUGAAGAACCGUUACAAGCCGCUAACACCAGUCUGCUUCAGCAGCUUGGUUGAAAUGGAGAUUGGAUGAUGCACUGUGCCCAACUAAUCAUACACGUGAUGCCUUGAGAGGUCGGGGUCAGAUUGUGAGUACUCCUCCGUUUU